GACUUAAAAUCCGUCGACUUUGAAAAUCGUGAGG
rnacentral:tRNA from 1 species